GGCCCUGGGCCGGCACGGACGUCCCUUGAGCAACCUCCUAAAGCGGGUGUCGGCAGUUCGAAUCUGCCCGGGGGCACCA
rnacentral:tRNA from 1 species